rnacentral:sRNA from 1 species
GCUAAUCUAUCGCCGCUGCUAAGCUAUCCCUCGCUGCUAAGCUAUUUAUCGCUGCCAAUCUAUCCCUCGCUGCUAAGCUAUCGCCGCUGCCAACCUAUCUAUUGCUGCAAGCUAUCCCUCGCUGCUAAGCUAUCCCUCGCUGCUAAGCUAUCCCUCGCUGCUAAGCUAUCCCUCGCUGCUAAGCUAUCCCUCGCUGCUAAGCUAUCCCUCACUACUAAGCUAUCUAUCGCUGCUAAUCUAUCGCUGCCAACCUAUCUAUCGCUGCCAACCUAUCUAUCGCUGCCAAUUUAUCUAUCGCUGCCAAUUUAUCUACCACUGCCAAUCUAUCUAUCACUGCUAAUCUAUCGCUGCUAAUCUAUCACUGCUAAUCUAUCACUGCUAAUCUAUCUAUCGCUGCUAAUCUAUCGCUGCUGUCAAUCUAUCUAUCGCUGCCAAUCUAUCGCUGCCAACCUAUCUACUGCAGUGAAUCUAUCUAUCACUAUCAUUACUAGUUCAAAAUAGAACUAGAGCAUAAAUACACUAAACUUCUUUUGAUAGAUAAUUAUUUUUGGUAACACUCAUAGCAUUAUAUUAUCUAUAUAGGGUAAAUCAUGGUCCCAUUUGGUCCCAUUUUAACAAAAUGGGAUCAAAUGGGACCAGAAUCAGUAAUUUAUAAGAAGAACAUGACCUGGAACUAGAUUUAUAAUAUAAACAGUGUAAAAUGACUAAUUUAAUAAACACUAUAUGGGACC